rnacentral:rRNA from 1 species
UACGUAGGGGGCAAGCGUUGUCCGGAAUCAUUGGGCGUAAAGCGCGUGUAGGCGGCCCGGUAAGUCCGCUGUGAAAGUCGGGGGCUCAACCCUCGGAUGCCGGUGGAUACUGUCGGGCUAGAGUGCGGGAGAGGCGAGUGGAAUUCCUGGUGUAGCGGUGAAAUGCGCAGAUAUCAGGAGGAACACCAAAGGCGAAGGCAGUGUCCUGGGGAGUACCUGACGCUCAGGUGCGAAAGCCAGGGGAGCGAACGGG